UGGGGGCCAGUUUAACAGUUGUCGAAAUCACAGUAGCUACCACUACAACAAAGCUACUCAUGGGGACUUUUAUCAUGUAGAUUUUGAUGGUAGUAUUUUUGGCGAACAACUAGACUUUUUGUCUGUUUUCAUCUGUUACAUAUGUAAAUGUGCUCUAUAAUGAAGAUUAAUUCCACAGCUGUUUUAAAUCUUCCAAUUUAGCCCCUUAUUGUAAAACUUUGCCAUGGGAUUUAUGAGAUAAAUUAUGUUUCAGCAGCAUCGCUUUAUCUAACACUGACCUGCUGAUAGCAGCGGUCAAAAACUCCCCACUGACGGUUCAGUUUGCUUUUGUAGGUCACAGGGAGAGGUAUCACUUUUAACAUCAGUCUGUUUCAUAACCAGUUUAAACCCCCUCAUAGGAACUUUAAAGUAGGCUUUACCAGAUGAACAGGUUUCCAGUUUAAAGACAGUCCAAUUUGUGCAGUCACGUCAUCUCAGUAGUGUGUGUGUGUGUGUGUGUGUUUCAGACUAACAGAAACUAAGUAAAUCUAUAGUUUUACAACGAUUCUUGUGAAAAAAUGCAGCAUGUGUACCUGGUUUGUGCUGAUAAAAAGUUUUGACAUGGGAAUCCUGCACUUGCUCCCUCAUUUUCUCAAAAUCACGAGUGAAGCUGCAUACUAAAACACCAUUCACAUGUCAAACCAAUCAAAAUAUUCAUACAGGCAUACAAAAAUGUGAUCUUAUUAGUCUAAGCUAACCAUGUUGGUCCCUUCUUGGAAUAACAAACAUUUAGCACACAUAACUUUUGCAAGUUUCACAGUUAAACCUACAAAACACAUUUUUACUACUUCCCCAUAACCUGUCAGUCAUUCUGGCUCAUUUCGUACCCUCUGCAUACCUGCACACCCCGGUGUCUGAAAUCUGUCUACUCGAGUGUCGCAGUCAGGCGUGACAGUGUGACAGUCAGUCAGCAUGCACAACAACAGGUCUUUACAAGAGAAGCAGCCUAACAGAAUUCAGAUAAUGUUCAUUUGAAUGUGAUGGCCUGUGCUUUUCUGCUGUCUGAGUGUGGCUACUGUAAUGUAAACAUUUGGAGUUUUUGCAUUGAAAAAAGUAUUUUUGGUUUGUUGAGAAAAAUAGCAAAAAAUGUCAACAAAGUAUUUAUUAGUUUUGAGUAAUUCCAUCAAAUUUUUUUUGUUUUUUUCUCCAUUAGAGCCAAAAAAAUAUGUAACAAGUUCUAACAUAUUGUUCAUCUAUGUUUUACCAAAAAGCAUCUCUCUAAAAUCUGUUCAUAUCUUCUUGCACUUGGCCCAGUUCGUGACCAAUAGCCAUUGUUCAGCCACUUCCAACUUGACAACUUCACCACUGAGUCACAGAGUUAGAAAUAGAUGGACAGAUCACCUCUUUAGCAGUUUUUCCUCGUUAUUUCAGAGUCAUUUCUUCGUGAGCUUAUGCAGCUGAAGCAACAAGACAGCACGAUUAAAAUGUCCUCCUGAGGAAACAGACAGAAAUGAUUGAACCGCAUGGAAAAAUGUCAGUGAAAAACAAAGCUAAAUAUUUAUUCAAGCUUCUCUGGUGGUCUCGGGCUUUUUACCAUCAAAGAAAGUCAAUCUGGGCUUGAAGGCUGCAGACAUAAAUUACCGUGGCGAGGAACCAAUAGCAAUCACUUAUUGCAGUCAAUCUGACACUAACAUGGUGUGAAAGUAUCAGAGGAACCGACCAGCACAAUCAGUCCCAUUCUGUUAACAUCAUAUGCAUAUCACUUGCAGUAACAGCCCAUUUUUUCUCAUGUUUGUCCACUUCUGUUUGUGUGUCUGCAUCCACUGCAAUACAGCGAAUCCUGAAAGACAAGGAUUUUCAAGCAACGAAAGUCAUGAGUGAAGGUUUUGGAAUCAUUAAGCCCAAAGUGCCUUUUCUCCCAUGUUUUCCGAUUUAGAAAUCAAUCCCAAAUCUCUCUACUUGUUUUGUUUUCUUUGUGUCUUGUUUGGUCCUGUCCAGGUUGUAACAAAUGGUAGGUUAAUGGGUUUGUUCAGCAAAGGCCUUGAAUGCCUGCUCUGCUGACUUGAGUACACACACACACACCAACUCAAGCACAAAACACACAGACACAUACACUGCUCUAAUUGUUUCCCUUUGGACACAAACAGAAUUGUGUUCAGAUCCAUCACUGAGCAGAGACAGACACAGAUCUUACAGACACAGAGAGCUCUGUGGUACGAGGAAACGGCAGCGGAGUGAAACACUGAUAGGGCCACUGAUGAUACCGAGGGAUGUGAAGAGACGAGUAGUGCCCUUGAUCUCUUCUGACCUAGAAUGGAAAGCUGAGCCACGAUAGUUCAUGUGGUGUCUGACUUACAGUGCACAGAUGUGGAACAACACCUGACAGUGCAAACGCUUUAAGAUGACCCAUCAAAUUUCUAUCUGAUGAGACAGGCACAAAUACACAAACACAGAGUGAUGCAAAUUUGAGAACACAUGCAGAAGUCUGAACAAAUGUAAGUCUAAAAAUGUGCUACAAAUGAAAAAUUUGCAGAAACCAUUACACACCUCUUUGAAAGUAUGAUGCAUUGACUGGUGUUGUCCUUUUCAUACGUGGUGCUGGACAUCUUACAUGACAUAAACACAACAAGUCUUAAUAUUUUGCUUGUGAAAAUUUAGCCGUUGCAAUCUCAUAUCAGCUCACCCAAACAAGUCAGAGUGAAUUUUUGGCUAUUUGUGUUCACACGUGUAGCUCAUUCUAAAUUUUGAAUACUUUUAUGCAUAUGUGUAACCAUAGCUUGAGUCUGGAGCAACUGAGUAGUACAAUCCAAGCUUAAAUCUACCCUAGCAACUCCCACCUGUAUGACCACAGUGUUUGUUCCUGCCUAGUGUUACAAACCAUUAGCAGCAUGUCCGAGACUAUUUUUAAACAUGCCCGGCUAUUUUCAUAAACGGACAUUUAAUUGUCUCCGUUUACAAAAAAGACUGCGUGCACACCACUACAUUUUCAGAAAAGUUUUCAUUUACACCGACCUGUGUAUGUAUGCCAUCAAGAGCGUAUCGAACAUGUGGGUGGCAGUGUAGCGAGCAGCUCAAGCUAGUUAGCCAAUCAGAAUCCCGCAUAGCAUCAACAACAACAACAACAACGUCCCUUCCUUCUGUCUUGCGCACAACCUGCUGUCCGCUACCCAAAUCUGCGUUUUUCUCUGUGUACAUGCAAAUGUGCGAGUUUUCCAAAAUCUCCUCUCUGGCCAGAGUUUUUAAAAAAGCAUUAUUUUCAGGGGCGAAUUCUCUGUUUGGGUGCAAAUGAUGGUUAAUGUCUCAAUUUUUAAACAUAAGCGAGUACAUAUAAAUGGGACCCUAGACUUGCAAAAAUCAACGCAGAGAGUAAUUUUCUACAAAAGUCUUUUUUUCUUUUUCACUUUCACUAAGGUUUGCCGUGUGAAAUGUUCUGUAACGCUCUGUAAAAUGUCAAGCUAUACAGCUACAUGUUAGUGACCCUGACUUGGUUUUUCAAUGUAAAAUAAAGUCAGAAGUUUCAAAACAGUGAUGGUGUGAGAAGAAGAGUACUUCUGUGCUGUUCAGAACCAAGUUAUUCACUGUGGCCUUGACUAUUAUGUGGAAAAGAUACAAGGUAAUGAAAGAAAAACUGCCUUUCAGUGGAUCUCAAAGCUACUCCCGCUUCAAAGAUUUACUGCGGUUUUCUGUUUACUCCGUCUGCUUGGCUCCUGAAACCAAAUAAAUCAUCCAAUAACAUGUCUAAGCUAACAUGAACAGUCACUUCAACUAGCUCAAUAGAGCGGUAACACUGAAAAGGUAUCGCAGGCUCCAGCAAUAAUCAGGAGGUGUCAGGUUUCAUUACCUGGAAAAAAAGCUGACCGCACCAUGGCAUCACACAAGAGCGAGCAUUAGAGCACGUUAAAUGUUGAGUCAGAUGUAAGAACAGAGAUGAGGUGGUGAGGUAGACAGGAGUAGUGUUUCUGGAUGAUGUAAAUAGUGUAGUAUCAGUAACACGCCUUACCAGCAAGUAUGAUAUCACCUUGUUUAGUGUGUGAUAAGAUAAGUGUCCUCGUAGAUCCUUGGCUGGUGGAUGCUUCUAUAUUUCAUUCUUUCCUUCCCUCUGAAUUCCUUCCCUAUUUGGAAUUAAUGUGAAGGGCUUCAUUCGACAUGUUUUAAAUCAGAGAUAUUUCACUUUUUACAACUCGCUUCAGCUCAUUAAAAUGGAGAUUUUUUAUUGCUGUGUUUUUUCCUUUCCCUUUUUUUCAGUAUUUUUCCAUCGUUUUGCUCUCUUGACCUCACAUUUUAAUUUUUCAUUGUGUUUUUUUAGUUGUCACUGUUUUUCUUGAGUGUUUAAGCUUUCUCUCUCUCUUUGUCUCACAGUUUCACAUCAAUACAUGUUAUUUUUUCAGUCUACAAAACCAAAAGUCCAUGAGUCGCCUCUCCUUCAACAUACUGGCAUGCCAUCAUGCAUGCAUAAACUUACAUGCUUAUAUACACUACCAGAUGCCUUCCACACACUGGUGCACAGGGCAAUAACUAUGCACAUGCAUGCACAAACAGAGACAAUGGUAGCCUGAUGAAGGGACAAUAGUGCCUGUGUAAGCCUGUGUAGCUUUGCUGUGCCUGUCUCUGUGGGAAUUUAAUGGAUUCCUCUUCUAUUGUGGCCUCAGACAGAAAACCUUCAGAGCUGAGUUUACAAAACAACCUAACUUACAAAGUCCAGUCUUUAGAAACAGGUGAACUUUGCACACAUAUUGCGAGAUAAAAGUUUUAUUGUUGAGAUGAUAAGAAGUGCACGAACGCUGGCUCGUCCUCUUUUAUUUUAUACCCUGUCUCUGUAACUUUAUUAUCUGCUGUAGAACGAGGUUCACACACACACCUAGGUAAUAGUUCUCACAAUAAAGGCUCGCCAUGACCUCAAGCACGUACACCACACAUGUGAUUUAGUGUUACAAUGUAUCACGUUAACAUCAGCGUGAAGCGUGUGAUUCUUCACGUACAAGUUCGCUUGCAUCGAUCAGUCUUGGAGUGGUAUAAUCUAUUUUCUUUCCUAUAUUGUCUGUGUUUGCAGCCUGUGUAGGAGAAAAGCACCAGCUCUACAUCCCAUAACACAGCCCAGCCGUGCCUGUUGUUGUCAGGGUUACCAGGACUGACUGGUCAAUCUAAAGCAGAACAUAAUUAUAAUCCAGCUCUCUACACUCUCUCCGGUUCUCCACCCCUACAUCCACCCUUCUCUGUCGGUAUAACCCGCCAGAUUUCGUUGUAGGCUUGACAGAAACAAGACAGUGUUGUCUUUAGAUAGAUAUGCGAGACACUGUCUGUCUGCUCUUUCUGUCACUCAAGCAUCUGUCAAUUAAAUCCAGUCGGUCUGAAUCCUUCUGAUCCUCCUGACCCCCUCAGAGACCAGGCAGUCCAAUCCAGGUUUGGUCCCUCAUUUGUGUCGACUCCAGUGGAGGAAAUCAGGGCUGGUGUGUGGAAAAAAACUGCCCUUAAUACUGUUUGUCCUCCGAGCUUUUUUCUUCUUAAUUCACGCACGCAAAUGCACAGCCUCCAUCUCCUCUCACAGCUGUAUUAACAUCUGAACUAAUGGCAGGAGACCUGGAUCUGCUAAGCUUUACUAGGUGUCCGUAAUGUCGUGUCAUAAGUAGGGCUUAGCCUACUGUUAACUGUCUGAAACUGCGGACAGGAAGAUGUAGGUCAGGGCAGUCCCCUUGGGUGGACACUGCCAAGUUGGAUAUGUUGUUUGACUUUACGCACCCCUGUGUUUUUCCAUGAAAUGUUUUCUUUUACUGGGUCAGGCAGACAAACUGACAAAUUCUGGUCUCAUUUAGACUCCUGUGCAGACACACAUGAGGUCAUUCCCUGCAGACAAGUCAACACCAGUCGUAAUAAAACAUGAACAGUGCCAGCAAGACAGAUGUAGAUCAACAAGAGUCAAACACAUCAUGGCUUGACACUACAGCACGCGCGCCCCACCCAAACACUCAAUAACACACCGCCCAGGCCCCAGAGACCAGGCACGUCCAGAUUUCUGCUGCACUGGGCGUAUGCUGUGAUUGCUUUGACUUGAUGUUUGAACUGAUAGAACCAGUUUCUCCAUGUAAACAUAAUUAGGUUUUGAUACAAGAGUUAAGUGGAGGGUGUUUUGUUGACAACCUCCACAAUGAGAGUGAGACACAGAAGGUCAUUGCUGAAAAGAGUGGUGGAGAAACAUGCAUAUGCAACGAGGAUGUCAGCAGCCUGGUGAGGACUGUUGGGGAACGUUUAUCUAAGGCUGAUGUCAGUGCAUCAAGAGCCACCACGCAAAGGUGUCCUCAAGAAACUUCAGUUAUCAAUUUUACUAAUAUCAAGCAAACCAUGCAGAGAGUUAGAUAAGUAAAUUGUGAAUUUCAUUUGGACAUUAAGGUCCCAGAUAUUUCAAAAGAGUGGAAAGGCACAUACCCCAAAGUAGUGAUGGGCGGUAUGAACAAAAUCUUAUAUCACGGUAUAAAUAAUUUCAUAUCACGGUAAUGGUAUUUUAGCCUGGCUGGGCCAUCCUGUUGCGUGACACUUGCCGUUCCUUCACACAACAGUCUGGACUUCGGCCCAUUGGGAGCGUGUAUUAGCGCUUAGUGUAUUCUGCAAAGUCGGCAGAAAUCGUUUAUAUCCGGAUCUAAAUGAUUUCUGCCGACUUUGCAAAGUCAACUGCAGCAUUAACGGUGUUCUGAAUGAACGAUGCUUUGAAAAGUCCUGCAGCACGUGUUAGAUGUCACCAUCUACACAUGGACCAAUCAGAGGCUGUCUUUCCCUGUUGUCCGGGGAACAGUGGAAACACAGUCACUGAUUGGCCCGGUUAUUUUCUGAUCGCUAAUACACGCUCUCUAUGGGCCGAAGUCCAGACUGUUGUGUGAAGGAACGGCAAGUGAUUCACGCAACAGGAUGGCCCAGCCAGGCUAACGGUAUUUAUCACGGUGUGUUUUUUUCCCCCUGUAAAUUCAAUUAAUGGCUUAAAAAUAACCAUACUGUUGCAUUUAUUCAUUUUCCUUUUAUUUUUAAACUCAGAUUUGUAAACAAAUGCAAACAAAAUGCCAAGCAGUCUGCUGGACACGCUGUGAUUAUGGGUAGCGCACUCAAACCUGACCAAUCAAACGGAGCAAACAAACUCUGCACGACACGCUGGUGAAUAUACGGAAACGCACUCAAAAGGAUGCGCUCCGGCUUUCCUGUUAGUGAGUCCAAACUACUACACACUGACCACAGAGAUGCAGCAGACAUCUGCUCUCUCUCUCUCCAGUAUAAUCGGUAUAGCAAGAUUUCUACUGGUAGACACUUUUAUACCGUCACAUGGUAUAUACUGUCAUACCGCUCAACACUACCCCAAAGUGUUUUAAGUCUGGUGUGAAGUUUCCACAGUUAUUUCACUUAAAAAGUCACAAAUAUAAAAUAUGAGUUAAGAAUUGUCUCAUUAUAUUUUGAUUUAUUAAGAGGCGUAUCUUGUCUCUCAUGACAAUAUCAUGAACUUUUGUGCCCAGUCUACAUAUCCCCUCUCCUUCCCCCUCUCUUAAGUGCUCUUGAACCACGUAGUGACUCAGUGCUGUUUCUGUAACCUUCCAAAAUAAAGUUGCUUCAUUGGGACAGAGAUCAGGUUACCUUCUCCUUUACCCUCACCCCAUCCCUCUCCUUUCUCCUCCCUCUUUCUGUCCCUGUCUCUUUAAACCCCGUGUUUCCUUGUAUCUUAACAAAAAUAUCCUCUGUUACCUGUUUCCAACGUUUUACUUCUCCCUCAAAAUUCCCCCCUGUGCUCAUUUCCUGCACUCCCUACUUCCCCUGUGGACUGGCGCACUGUAAAAUGAAUGGCAUAAUUAGAAUUACACACUCUUAAUUGGCUCUUUCCCAGCUCCAUUCAUAACAGCUCUAUUUAAAAUCACACCCCCUCUCAGGGUAGGUACGCCUGAGUGUAUGUGUGUGUGUCACCGGAGACAAAAGUGUGAAAUUAAGCUUGCCAAAAUGCGGUGAAAGCACAGUGAGCCAUGGACACAUUUAUGUGUGCGUUCCCAGUGUUAUGUGUGUGGAGUGCACUCAUUAGCCCAUGUCCUCUAAUGAGAGCCACGGGUGGUUUAACACCUCGGCCCUAUAGACGGGGUCUGGUAUGCCAGCCCGAUUGUAAUUAUGGCAGUCAGUCUGAGCAGACCACAGUGCAUUAAGUGCCCUCUCUUAGCUGCACUCUUUUCUGUAAUUAGAAAUGUAAGAGCUGACCUGGAGUGUAUCUUUGUCCAUUCCUGCGCCCUGCCUCAGCAGAGAUGUACAAGACAAACAGCUGAAGAGGGAAUUGAACUGGCAACGUUGUUGGCAGCCGGCUAUAGUCAGGGAAUAAUUUCCUGUGCCGUCAUGAUGAAGUGGAGGCCAGAGAAGAGGUGAUGCAAACCUGCAGGGAUCACUGACCAUGUCUGUGUUUGUGUGUGUGUGUGUUUGUGUUUAAGAGAAAUAGAGAGUCAUUUGAGCACAACCCUGAACCACAGUGAGCUCACCACAACGGAGGACUGUAAUUAAGAUUUUUCCCAGAAUAGUGAGAAAACAGCAGAGAAAACAUUCAACUUUUAUACAGGCCGUGCAGCUUAGACAAACACACAUCCUCACAGCAAGAGCCGCACUCUCUCCAGCCUUUUAAACAUUAAAAAAAUACCUCCUCAAGUGUCCCCGCACAAUCUGAAAUUGCAAAUGUAGCUCGUUUAUCAGCAGACAUACCUUCCUGAAAAUAACAACCUUGAGAGAGCACGAUUUAGAAGCUUUUUCCGUGCCGUCAGGGUUCACUGAUUAAUUGGGCGUUCAUAUCUGCAACUAAGGUAAUGAAAUUUCAAGUUUCCAGCAUUUUAUUUAUUUUAAUUUUCUGCUCCCCAGACAUAGUGCAGAGAGAAGGCCAGCAGGACGAAUCAAUUUGAGGGCUGACAUUUUAUUGAAAUCCAUAUCAGUGUGUCUGAGUGGAUCACUUGAAUUACAAAAAAAACUGGGGCUGCAGGUGUUUGAGAAAUCCUCUUAAGUCAAAUAUGCUAACAAAACACGGUCGCAUCUUAUUUUGGGAAGCAGGAUGACAUUUUCCCUCCACACAAAGUAAGGUAAUAUUACAAAAUCCUCAUACAAUGACUGGGUAGAGCAUGAAUCGCAUUCAUGCAUAACAUGAUAUACACAACCUUCAAACCACGAGCAUAAGAAAGAAACAUGGGUAAUAGCAGCGAGUGAAGCUGAAGUGUGUUUAUGGGAUGCAUUAACAGAGACCGCACACUUGAAAAUGUACGUCCUGAGGCGUGCCAGGACAUUUAUCUCACUGUCCACUUAAGAGAGCUAAAUGUGCGCACAGACACACAAACAAAGAUAAGAUACGCAAAGACACUGAUGCUUACCCACUUAAGUGCAAUAUCCAAUAAUGGGAUUACAUCCUUGAUUCCACUGAUGGAGUAGAAACGUGGUGAAAGGAGUAAGGAGUCUCACAUGCACCAAGAAACCAGGAUUGGUACUAUGGGAUUUAGUCUAAUCGUAACAUCUAUACUGUUUUUGUACUUAAAUCAGAUGCAGAGGUACGAUUUUAUAAUUCAAGUUCUGCUCAGACUCCAUGACAAGCAUUGAAGGUUUAAAGAAAUGAUUCAUAGCACUUUAAAGCCCCCAGACCUUAACCAUAAGUCCGUUAUAACCAGACAAACUGAGCUUCCUCUUCAUUCCACAUCCCCCCGCACAGACGUGGACACAGUAAUGGGAUUUCCUUUAAUCAUAUAAGAGUAACAAUAGAGACUGAGGAGCUACGAGAUCCUGUCCGGUACUGUUCCUUGGCUGUUCUUUGAGUCACCCCUGACCUGCCCUCUAAAAGAAUCCCAAGAUUACCUGACCUGAGGCAGCAGGGCUGGAUUGGAUUACAUGCUUCCACCGUACGGACACUGUUGGCUAGACGGAGAUUGGCUUCUAAUGAAAGCGUCAUUAAGGGAUCUUUCACUUUGAAGUACACGUUAGAUUAACAAAAUAAAUACUCUAGCGUUAGGUCAUGUUACACCCAGUUUUUGUGCCUGUGAAUCCACUUAUCUGACAAACGCAAUCCAGUGCAGAUGGCAGUGAUCAAAGCUAAAUACGACUCGAAGUUUUAUUUUUCAUCCAACUUGGAUUCUUUUUGGAGUUCACUUCCAAUAUGACUGUUUUUGUCAGAAAUCAAGUUUGAUGAGGGUUUAUGUGUCCAUACAAAACUUAUUACAAUGCAUCAGAUCAAUGUUGAAUUACAUCAGUGACAAAGACACUUUGGUUUAGAGCAUAUACCCCAUUAGCUGUAUAAAAGCCCACAUCAGAGGAGAACAUUUUACUUGAAUGACUACAGUCCCCACUGAAAAAACGUCUCCAAAAACAACCUCCCUUUGAAUGAUCCCUUGAACAUCCCUCAGAUCCCCAUGAGCCUUUUUCCUUGCUGGAUCAAUGUGUGUUUGUGCGUGAGUCCAACUAAUUCAGAGUAUUUUAUUCCAUUAGUCCUUUCUGGUAGAGGACACCAUCUGUUAGCUGUUAGGAGCUUGGGAGGAGACCACCGCCCCAACUGACAUGUUGCGCACUGCCUGUUUUAACUCUCCCACUAACCUCUAAAUUCUGACCUGACCUUUUCUCUACCCAUCACCUGCUGUCAUCCAAAAACUGGAUACACAACCUGUCCACACAUACUUGAAUUAUUUCUGUGUGAAAGAUCGUCUGUACACGUGUGUGUGUGUGUGUGUGUGUGUGUGUGUGUGUGUGUGUGUGUGUGUGUGUGUGUGUUUUGGGAGGGUGUCUGUUUAGUAUCAUAAGAGUGAAAUUUUGCGCCUUAUUCACCCAGCAUUUGAAAACAAUUCAAACCUCGUGGAAAUUCCAUGUUUUGUUCUUGUUUUGUGUACUUCUGGGGACCUUGCAGACAGUCAUUACCUUUUGAGGACAUUUGGGUUUAUGGGGACAUUAUUGCAUGUUUUUAGACUUCAUUUUUAACUGGCUAUCUAAGCUUAUAGACUUGAAACUUUGUUUCUUGUGAGUGAAUUCUGUUGAUUUACACAAACUUUGUCCCUUCCACAAUGACUUCUGAAGGGCAGGAGGCCAUUAAAUACGACUUGAUGUUCAAACAGGACCCAAAACUCACCACCGAAAUGGAGGACUACAUAAUUGUUUUUUUCAAAAAAAUUGGACAUCCAAACAUACUUCAUCCAAUAAUAACAAAAUUGGUCUGCUCUUACAAACUAGAGAGAACUGGUGUGUUUUAUUGGACUUGAAGGGAUAUUUCUUCAUGGAAAUGCAAUCAGACCGAGACGCUAAGGCAGAAGAACUACCGCGUCUGCAGUGCAAAAUGAUAAAUAUGGUGAUUAUUACUUCAAGAAAAUGAUAAAGUAAUGAUCAUAAAUGUUCUUCCUUGAGCUGCAUCACCCCGCUAUAGUCCAUAAUGGACUGGUCAAAGUCUCGCUACAAAAAAGCGGCUGCUGGAAGAGAGUAGGUGAGUUGUGUUUAGUCUCUUUGCUAAAGAAAUCAGGCAAUGCUAGAAAGAUGUUUGGUGGCUAGUGCUGUGGUUGGGACCCUGUAUGUACUGUUGAUGAAGUUAGGUGCUGUUCUGAGCAUUAUUUAUGGCUAUAGAGUGGUAUUUUGGUCGAGGUUUGUAUUGCUACGUAUUGCUAUCGUGUGGUCGUUACUAAAGUUGGUAUAACUAGAGAAGAGGUCGGCAACAUUCAUCUCUCGAGGGGGUGUCUAACUCGGUGUUACGGUGUGUUUGACCCUAAAUUAAUUUUACACCGGAACAUCCCUUUGAAGUCCUUUUUGUGUCAUUACAGAUUUUCCAUGAAUGUUACUAAGAGGCUGACCUUUGAGUCCCCUAAAGCAUCUCUGGCUCUGGUCUGAUCUCUCGUGUUGCCCAUCUGGACAGCUAUAAACAUAUCCUCAGGGCUCCUUACCAUCUUGGUGUAUUAAUUAGUACUAUCUCCAUCAAUUUAAUUUUCACAGCCAAUUUUUUCAAUGUAGAAGAUCAAAUAGAAGGAAAAUAAGAUAGCUGGAUUAGACAGCGCUGUGCCCUAAACUGGGGGCUCAGUUUAGUGAUCACUCUUAAACAAGAGGUGCACACACAAACUAAUACCAAUCCCCAGUUUGACUAGAGAGUGCAUCAAUUAUUAAUGGACUGCUCUCGCUAAAUGCAUUCCCAGGCUCUCAUCAGACAAUCUCCGUAAGGAUCACAUCUGUGCUCCCAAACUGAGUGACUGCCAGAGGAAUCUAUUGAAAAUCUGCAACAAAGAGCUGCACAUAAAAUCUAUCACACAGUCCAGCAUUAUUACUCUGGCUGUGUGUCUGAGUGGUUUAGUGUGGGUGGAUCUGGCUGUGCAUUAUUGGAAGAUGCUAUCUGUAAUUGCAUCUACAGGUGUUUUUCUCGUUGCACAUUAGUUAUUUGCCACGCUCCAGCUCAACAUGUGAUAACACGACAUGCAGAGAUGAUGGUCUGAAUAGACACGGUGAUUGAUUCAGUGUGUGUGUGUGUGUGUGUGAGAGCUCCUGGGUCGGGAUUGUUUGCACGUAGCCCCCCUGACCUGCAAGUGCUAGACAGAGCGUUCUUGAUAAUUAAGCGACUGUGUGAUUAUGCAAUGAGCAUGACCGUGCCAAUGGAAGACAAAGAAAGAACAGACAGACACAACAGGAGGCAGAAAGAAAGAACAGCGUGACAACGUUGGACGAAUAACUGAGAAAAGACAAGAAACACAACUGAGCGAGGAUAAAGUCUUCCAAAGACUUAUUUAAAGAUAAAGUGUUAGCUUGGUUUGUUUUGGUGUUUUGCCAGAGUCAAAUGAAAAUUUGGUUUGAUGGUUUUCGAGUUGAGAUUUAUGCAACUGGUGGAGAGCAUGCAGUAAGUUAUAUUUGGAGGGGUCAGGCAAUGUGUGUUUGCAUUUAGAGAAUGUUAACGUAUCCAUGACACACAUACAUGCACUUUGCCCUUGCACCUGUAACAUUGUAACCUCAGCAUAGUGCGAGUAGUUAUGUGCGUGUUUGUGUUCAUCGCGGGACCCAAAACUAAACUUGGUUAGCGGCAGGAUUUUUACUGUUGGCUUUCUUUAACUUGUUGAGCUAUCCAAAGAUACGUUAAGCAUAGCAUGCAUUCAUGCUAUGAAUCUGAGGGUCACUUCACCUUAAUAAAUUCCAUUCAGCCACAGGAACGACCGACGUCAACCACGAGACUUUGGUACAUAGCUAGCAUUCUUAUUCAUUCUGGAGAUGUUGGGAAAGGUCGCAGCAGGACGUUCACCAUUUUUAAAUUUUUAAAAGUGAGAGGACAGUAAGAGAAAAGACUCAGACCACUCUCAGUAUUUCUGACUCGCUUUAGCACAGAGGAACUAAAGCGAAUUUAUGGUUUAUUUAUCUUGUGCUUAUAGGAGUGCCUGCACCAACAUAGAACAACUUCUUUCAAAUGGUAUUGUACAAUCCUUUUAAACUACAGCUGGAGUCUGCGAGAACUAAACAACAUUGAUGUUGACAGCUUUGGAUUUACAGCACUUGGUAAAUGGGUUUGAGUAAUAAUUUAGAGUCAGAUUUAGUCUAAAUGAAUAUAUUUUUGUUUCACAGGGCCCAUGGGCACAGUAAUCUCUAUAAGCAGAAUUUCCAUAAAAUACAGAGUCUGUACAUGGUGGACUGGACUUUAAUUUGAGAGAUAUUCAAAAUUACAUUAGUAGUAUUUUCAGAGUCAGGGUGGUACUGACCAUUCAUAGAUCAGAAAGUUUGAAUAUGCAUAACAACAACAACGACAACAACAACCUUUUAGAGGGCAAAAGAAGGCAGUGUGCAAUCUGCCUUGACAACAUACAGUCUACAGAUAUUGAUAGUUAUUUGACAUUGAUAUAUUUACAUACAUAUCAGCAUGCAAAGACAACUAACAAUCUGUUCAGGUAAAGAAAAGAAAAAAAAAACGUUUUUUUGUGUUUUUUUUACCGGUGUAUCGCAAUUCCAAAUUUUACAUUUUCACAUUCAUAUGCAGAUACUGUGUGUGUGUAGGUUUCAAGUGCUUCAUUGUUCAUUUAAAAAAAUUAAGUCAGUACACGUGUGCUAAAUCUUCUCUUCAAACACACUGUACAGGAGGGGAAUUCCUCCAUUACUCACCAGUUUGAAGAUGUGAAGGUUAUGACUGUGAGUUUUGCAUAAUCAGGGGGAUAUCUGACUUCACUGACAGAUGGGGACACUGUAGCAGUUAGAGAAAAAGCUAAUGGCUCUUCGCCUCUUGCUUUGCCCACUUAGAGUUAAGUUGGAUCAGUAUUUCCAAUCUGGAGACUGCUAUCACUGGGCGCCAAAAGUCCUUGGUGAAAACCAGCGUCUGACAUUGCUCAGAUUAUGUUUAAUGGGAGAGGAGGCAUCUGCACAGAUGAGCACUUAGAACACUGUGUGCCUUGGAGUAUUGGUCAUUGCCUAUUGAUGCUCAUCCAUCAUUGUGUCUUAGCUUUUGAGUCUAAAAGUUGUGAGCACAGAGACUUUGAUUCUCACCCCAGGGAGUCCAGGAAAGUUGUGAGAACCUUAGUUUUAUUUCUCAGAUUUCUAAACUGAUAAUAAAUAGCGAAAGAUUUUACCAGAUUUUGGUUAUAGAAGUGUUUUCUACAAGGAUUUCAGCGAGAAUUGGCUGUAAUCGGGUAAACUGUCCAAAUGGAGAGCAAAAACAUGAUGCUUCAUGAGGUUAUACAUCUGAGGUUGAAUUAGCUCAAAUUAGUUCAUUUUAACAGAUAUAUCUCAGAAUCUGCUCUGAGAUGAUUCCCAACACCAGCUCCAUCCUGGCUUUUUGAGUCAAUCCUCAGAAGACCGUUCAGUAUCGUCAUAAAAAGUUGGCCCUCGAGGCUAAAAUCAUUUCCAGAUGAUAGCAGAUGAGUGAGCAACAUUUCUGUGGGGUUUCUGCAACAAAACACCUUAAAUUGAUUGGAAUCUUGUUGCUGGGAUACAGUCCCAAAGGUGUCAAAAUCCAGUUAUGGUCAAUAACCAAUAUGACUGCACAUGACAGACCUGUAUGGCAAAGCUAUUGUCCUUUAUUACCGUGACAGGAAAUCAAUGUCCCAGUUUGACUCUAUUGUUGGAUUCAUGAAAGACAGUCUGAAGAGAUAAAUAUUAUCAUGCUAAGCAUCAACCGCCGGGAGAGAAAUAAGCAUUGUCUUUCUAAUUCAUGCAAUGCUGUCAUGAGCACAUGUACCCACACACAUGUCAACACAGUCACAUGCAUAUGUACACAGAAAUGUGCACACAUGUAUCCAACAACCACCCACGCACACCCUUGGAAGAAACCACUCACACUUCGCCCCCAUAGAGUACAUGUCAGUCCAUCUGGGAUCAUUAACACUAUGGUAAUGAAUAUAGGGCCAGGGCCAGGAGCAUGUGAGGAGACGCGAGGAGAGAGAGAGAGAGAGACACAGAAAGAGAUGGAGAGAGAGAGAUAAAGAGGACAGAAGGUGGGAGGAUGGAGGAGGAUAAUGGAUUCUCUCCUAACAAAUGCACUGCCCGAGGUAGUUGUGGGGGGAACAUGGAUAAGAAAAGACUGAAAGUGAGGGGAGGGGAGCGGCAGCGAGAAGAAGAAAACCAGACUACACCGAGUUGAGGUGAAGUAAGAACUGAAAGAGAGCAAUAGAGCAGAAAGGAAAGUGAAGGGAAGGGAUGAUGCUCAAGAGCCAGUCAAUGUGAAAGGAAAACGCUCAAAAGGCGAAGUAAGAAGGAAAAAGAUGCACCAAGAACGAUCUGGCCGGGGGCUGGUGAGGGCUCUGUGGAAAUAACUGAACAGAUGAAGAGAAGAAAGGGAAGGAAGGAAAGACAGCAGAGACGACAGAUGAGCUGAGAGAACAGGCGGGGACAGACAAGGAGAUACAGUAUAACAAAUGAUGGCAGAGGCAAUGCAAGCUGACUAGAGUGGUUAAAUAUUUCACUGGGGUUUGUUUGCUCUUUUGUGUUUCUGAAUCUGUGUGUGUGUGUGUGUGUGUGUGUGUGAAGUGAGAGUCCCUGAGAGGCGGAAAGGAGGGCAGAGCAGGGCAGAGGAGAGAGCGAACGAGUGAAGUGUGCCUGUUGACUGGGCAAGUUAAUGAUUCCUCUGGGUUGAAUAGUGACACAGUGUUGGUCCAGGAAGAGAGGGAGGGGGCUCAUUUACCCCCUACUGACACACACAUGCAACUUUGUUUAAUGGGUUUGUGUAUCUGUACUCAUUUUGACCCCACGUUAGCUUGAUUUGGAAUAUUCUUACCUCCUUUGCUCUAAGCAGAUCCACCACCUCACCUAAAAGAUAG
rnacentral:lncRNA from 1 species